rnacentral:misc_RNA from 1 species
GCCGACUAUUUCCCAAGUCAUCUGUCACAUCACUGCCAUAGAGUGCAGGGUGGGAGAGAAUCAGACCUUGUGGGAUUUUGUGGGGAGGAUUAGAAGAAAUCUGGAAGCACAUUUCAUUGCCUUGAUGUAAAGGAAACAUGGUUCAAAAAAUUAGUUGAAGCUUGUAGGAGUAAGGUGGCAAAUGGCAGUGAAGGAUUAAAGAAGCAGAUACGUUUGUUAGGGUAUGUGAUCCUCUAUGGCCCUGAUGAGAUGCCAAGAUUCCCACAAUUUUCAUUUUAAUUUUUUU